AACGAACGCUGGCGGCAGGCUUAACACAUGCAAGUCGAACGCCCCUUUCGGGGGGAGUGGCAGACGGGUGAGUAACGCGUGGGAACGUGCCCUUCAGUUUGGAAUAACCCAGGGAAACUUGGGCUAAUACCGGAUACGCCCUUCGGGGGAAAGAUUUAUCGCUGAAGGAUCGGCCCGCGUCUGAUUAGCUGGUUGGUGAGGUAAUGGCUCACCAAGGCGACGAUCAGUAGCUGGUCUGAGAGGAUGAUCAGCCACAUUGGGACUGAGACACGGCCCAGACUCCUACGGGAGGCAGCAGUGGGGAAUAUUGGACAAUGGGCGCAAGCCUGAUCCAGCCAUGCCGCGUGAGUGAUGACGGCCUUAGGGUUGUAAAGCUCUUUCGCACGCGACGAUAAUGACGGUAGCGUGAGAAGAAGCCCCGGCUGACUUCGUGCCAGCCGCCGCGGUAACAC
rnacentral:rRNA from 1 species